rnacentral:rRNA from 1 species
CGCCCGCUCAGAAACUCAAAGGAAUUGACGGGGGCCCGCACAAGCGGUGGAGCAUGUGGUUUAAUUCGAUGAUACGCGAGGAACCUUACCUGGGCUCAAAUGUAUGUUGACGUAUUCUGAAAGGGAUACUUCUUCGGACAAUAUACAAGGUGCUGCAUGGUUGUCGUCAGCUCGUGCCGUGAGGUGUCGGGUUAAGUCCCAUAACGAGCGCAACCCCUAUCAUUAGUUGCCAUCAGGUCAAGCUGGGGACUCUAAUGAAACUGCCUACGCAAGUAGUGAGGAAGGUGGGGAUGACGUCAAAUCAGCACGGCCCUUACGUCCAGGGCUACACACGUGCUACAAUGGCCGAUACAGAGGGCAGCUACCUGGUGACAGGAUGCAAAUCUCCAAAGUCGGUCUCAGUUCGGAUCGGAGUCUGCAACCCGACUCCGUGAAGUUGGAUUCGCUAGUAAUCGCGCAUCAGCCAUGGCGCGGUGAAUACGUUCCCGGGCCUU